rnacentral:rRNA from 1 species
UACGUAGGUGACAAGCGUUGUCCGGAUUUACUGGGCGUAAAGAGCGCGCAGGCGGUCGUUCAAGUCGAGUGUGAAAGCCCCCGGCUCAACUGGGGAGGGUCACUCGAUACUGAUCGACUCGAAGGCAGGAGAGGGAAGUGGAAUUCCCGGUGUAGUGGUGAAAUGCGUAGAGAUCGGGAGGAACACCAGAGGCGAAGGCGGCGACCUGGACAAGUACUGACACUCAACUACGAAAGCGUGGGGAGCAAACAGG